rnacentral:lncRNA from 1 species
GAUUAGAUGAGUAGUUUGAAUUAUUUCAUAUUAAGGUAUGGUGGGGAAAAAUGAACAUUUAUAAAGCACUAUUGCUGAAAAUUGCAUUUACAGCAGGUCUUUAGAAGAAAACUUGCUUUUCCAGUAUGAGGAUAAAAUGAGCUCAAAUUAAAUACUAUGGGUCUCUUAAUUUGCACUAUUUUAUUUAAACUGCAGUUUAUAUCUUAUCGAAAUUAUGUUGCCGGUUCUGAAGAUGUUUCAAAAAACAAAAAAUGCAAAAAUUCUUCUAGUAAAAAUGUUACCAACUAUCCUUGUAAGACAUAAAUCUGGACCAACAGCUUUUAAAACUUUAAAGUGUCAACAACAAAAAAUUGAAAAAUGUUGUUUUG